rnacentral:antisense_RNA from 1 species
GUUCCGGGUCUCCACGCCCUCCUGGUUUGCGGGCAGCCGCGAAGCCGCGAGUGGACCGAGCGAGUGCAGCUGCCUCCGCGGGGCCGCGCCUGGCCGCCGCCUCCCUUUACCUCCGGCCGCCCCGUGGCAGGUGCAGAAGCUGCAGAGGCCGCAGCAGCCCAGCGCGCCCCUUCCGUGUGGCCGCAUGCCACCCGCGCCGCGCCCAGCAUUCCAGCGUCCAACAGAGCAUGCGUGUACCAUUCCGGCAUUUGGCAACAACGCACCAGCAUUCCAGAGUCCAACAGAGCAUGCGUGCACCAUUCCGGCAUCCGGCAACAAUGUACCAGCAUUCCAGAGUCCAACAGAGCGUGCGUGCACCAUUCCAGCAUCCGGCAACAAUGCACCAGCAUUCCAGCGUCCAAAAGAGCAUCCGGCAACAUCCCGGUGUCCAGUGGCACAUGUGCACCUGGACGUUCCAGUGUGGUGAGCUUUCAGGCACGGAGCAAGGCCAAAGGGAUAAAAAGAUGAAGGUGACGCAGUACUCCCCCUUAUAGUGCCUACCGGCCUUAUAAGCCAGACAGAUCUGGAAAUAAAUAAUUCAUAAUAAAAAAUAAUUACAGAAUAAGAGGCAUAAUAACCAGAUAGAAAGUAUUGAGUAAAUCUGUAAGAAAUG